AUACGUAGGGGGCUAGCGUUGUCCGGAAUCAUUGGGCGUAAAGAGCGUGUAGGCGGCCCGGUAAGUCCGCUGUAAAAGUCAAAGGCUCAACCUUUGAAUGUCAGUGGAUACUGCCGGGCUAGAGUCCGGAAGAGGCGAGUGGAACUCCUGGUGUAGCGGUGGAAUGCGCAGAUAUCAGGAAGAACACCAACGGCGAAGGCAGCUCGCUGGGACGGUACUGACGCUGAGACGCGAAAGCGUGGGGAGCGAACA
rnacentral:rRNA from 1 species